GAUGAACGCUGGCGGCGUGCCUAAUACAUGCAAGUCGAGCGAACAGAUGAGGAGCUUGCUCCUCUGACGUUAGCGGCGGACGGGUGAGUAACACGUGGAUAACCUACCUAUAAGACUGGGAUAACUUCGGGAAACCGGAGCUAAUACCGGAUAAUAUAUUGAACCGCAUGGUUCAAUAGUGAAAGACGGUUUUGCUGUCACUUAUAGAUGGAUCCGCGCCGCAUUAGCUAGUUGGUAAGGUAACGGCUUACCAAGGCAACGAUGCGUAGCCGACCUGAGAGGGUGAUCGGCCACACUGGAACUGAGACACGGUCCAGACUCCUACGGGGGGCAGCGGUAGGGAAUCUUCCGCAAUGGGCGAAAUCCUGACGGAGCAACGCCGCGUGAGUGAUGAAGGUCUUCGGAUCGUAAAACUCUGUUAUUAGGGAAGAACAAAUGUGUAAGUAACUAUGCACGUCUUGACGGUACCUAAUCAGAAAGCCACGGCUAACUACGUG
rnacentral:rRNA from 1 species